rnacentral:rRNA from 1 species
GAUUGAACGCUGGCGGCAUGCCUUACACAUGCAAGUCGAACGGUAACGCGGGGCAACCUGGCGACGAGUGGCGAACGGGUGAGUAAUGCAUCGGAACGUGCCCAGUAGUGGGGGAUAGCCCGGCGAAAGCCGGAUUAAUACCGCAUACGACCUACGGGUGAAAGGGGGGGAUCGUAAGACCUCUCGCUAUUGGAGCGGCCGAUGUCAGAUUAGGUAGUUGGUGGGGUAAAAGCCUACCAAGCCUACGAUCUGUAGCUGGUCUGAGAGGACGACCAGCCACACUGGGACUGAGACACGGCCCAGACUCCUACGGGAGGCAGCAGUGGGGAAUAUUGCACAAUGGGCGAAAGCCUGAUGCAGCAACGCCGCGUGAGGGAUGAAGGCCUUCGGGUUGUAAACCUCUUUUAGCAGGGAAGAAGGGUAACUGACGGUACCUGCAGAAAAAGCACCGGCUAACUACGUG